UUUCUCUUGUUUUCAUACAUCACAAAUAAAUCUUUUGCCUUACACUAAAUAUUUCCAUAUGUGAGAACCACCUGAAGGUGAUUUGAGGUAUUUCUCUGGUAAAGGGAACCUUUCCAUG
rnacentral:snRNA from 1 species